rnacentral:lncRNA from 1 species
GAGCACGGAACUCAUAGCAAGUAUAAUCAUAUCCUUAACUCAAAGGAUUUAUAAGUUUAAUCUUGACAUUACACUAACUCUAGUGUUCUUUACAUCACUUUAUGUUGCUAACUCUAGCAAUCAUUGUUCUUUACCAUUCAUUACUCUUACUAACUCUAGCAAUUAUAUUCUUUACAUUCUUUACUUUUGGCUACCCUAGCAUUUCAUGUUCUUUACUCCCCACAUUACUUUAACUUUAAACAUUGUCAUUUUCAUCAUUCUUUACAAUACAUUGAUUCUUUACCUCACACUAUCUCUAGUGUCAUUUCACUUUAACUUUAUCGAAUGCCACUCGAUCUAUGUCAUUGUGUCACUCUGUUCUUUUGCUCACUUUGGGUGCUCACUUUUCUCUCAUGCAUACACAUA